AUUGAACGCUAGCGGGAUGCCUUACACAUGCAAGUCGAACGGCAGCACGGACUUCGGUCUGGUGGCGAGUGGCGAACGGGUGAGUAAUGUAUCGGAACGUGCCCAGUAGCGGGGGAUAACUACGCGAAAGCGUAGCUAAUACCGCAUACGCCCUACGGGGGAAAGCAGGGGAUCGUAAGACCUUGCACUAUUGGAGCGGCCGAUAUCGGAUUAGCUAGUUGGUGGGGUAACGGCUCACCAAGGCGACGAUCCGUAGCUGGUUUGAGAGGACGACCAGCCACACUGGGACUGAGACACGGCCCAGACUCCUACGGGAGGCAGCAGUGGGGAAUUUUGGACAAUGGGGGAAACCCUGAUCCAGCCAUCCCGCGUGUGCGAUGAAGGCCUUCGGGUUGUAAAGCACUUUUGGCAGGAAAGAAACGUCAUGGGUUAAUACCCCGUGAAACUGACGGUAC
rnacentral:rRNA from 1 species